rnacentral:rRNA from 1 species
CUGCGAAUGGCUCAUUAAAUCAGUUAUCGUUUAUUUGAUAGUACUUUACUACUUGGAUAACCGUGGUAAUUCUAGAGCUAAUACAUGCUGAAAACCCCAACUUCGGAAGGGGUGUAUUUAUUAGAUAAAAAACCAAUGCCUUUCGGGGCUCUUUGGUGAUUCAUGAUAACUUUUCAGAUCGCAUGGCCUUGCGCCGGCGACGGUUCAUUCAAAUUUCUGCCCUAUCAACUUUCGAUGGUAAGGUAUUGGCUUACCAUGGUUUCAACGGGUAACGGGGAAUUAGGGUUCGAUUCCGGAGAGGGAGCCUGAGAAACGGCUACCACAUCCAAGGAAGGCAGCAGGCGCGCAAAUUACCCAAUCCCGACACGGGGAGGUAGUGACAAUAAAUACUGAUACAGGGCUCUUUUGGGUCUUGUAAUUGGAAUGAGUACAAUUUAAACCUCUUAACGAGGAACAAUUGGAGGGCAAGUCUGGUGCCAGCAGCCGCGGUAAUUCCAGCUCCAAUAGCGUAUAUUAAAGUUGUUGCAGUUAAAAAGCUCGUAGUUGAACCUUGGGCCUGGCUGGCAGGUCCGCCUCACCGCGAGUACUUGUCCGGCCGGGCCUUUUUUCUGGAGAACCUCAUGCCCUUCACUGGGUGUGCUGGGGAACCAGAACUUUUACUUUGAAAAAAUUAGAGUGUUCAAAGCAGGCCUUUGCUCGAAUACGUUAGCAUGGAAUAAUAGAAUAGGACGUGCGGUCCUAUUUUGUUGGUUUCUAGGACCGCCGUAAUGAUUAAUAGGGACAGUCGGGGGCAUCAGUAUUCAAUUGUCAGAGGUGAAAUUCUUGGAUUUAUUGAAGACUAACUACUGCGAAAGCAUUUGCCAAGGAUGUUUUCAUUAAUCAGUGAACGAAAGUUAGGGGAUCGAAGACGAUCAGAUACCGUCGUAGUCUUAACCGUAAACUAUGCCGACUAGGGAUCGGGCGAUGUUUUCAUCUUGACUCGCUCGGCACCUUACGAGAAAUC